UACAGAGGUCUCGAGCGUUAGGCGGAAUCACUGGGCUUAAAGCGUGUGUAGGUGGAUCGUUAAGUACCUUGUGAAAUCCCACGGCUUAACCGUGGAACUGCUUGGUAUACUGGCGGUCUUGAGCCACUUAGGGGCUACCGGAACAAAUGGUGGAGCGGUGAAAUGCGUAGAUAUCAUUUGGAACGCCAAUGGUGAAAACAGGUAGCUGGGAGUGUGCUGACAC
rnacentral:rRNA from 1 species